GACGAACGCUGGCGGCGUGCUUAACACAUGCAAGUCGAACGGAAAGGCCCUGCUUUUGUGGGGUGCUCGAGUGGCGAACGGGAGCGUAAUAAGUGAGUAACCUGCCCUUGACUUUGGGAUAACUUCAGGAAACUGGGGCUAAUAUCGCAUAGGAGCUCCUGCUGCAUGGUGGGGGUUGGAAAGUUUCGGUGGUUGGGGAUGGACUCGCGGCUUAUCAGCUUGUUGGUGGGGAAGUGGCUCACCAAGGCUUUGACGUGUAGCCAGCCUGAGAGGGUGACCGGCCACAUUGUGACUGAAAGACGACUCAGUCUCCUACGGGAGAGGUCUGUGGGGAAUUUUUCCCAAUGGGCGCAAGCCUGCUGCAGCAACGCCUCGUGCGCAAUGUCGGCCUUUGGAUUCUAGGCCGCUUUCGCCUGUGACGAUUCGUGGGUAACGGUGGUGGGUAAAGGAGCACCGGCUACCUACGUG
rnacentral:rRNA from 1 species